CGCGUCAUGGCAAUAAAUAAGCCGCAACUAUAACAGUAACAUAUGGUGACUUGGUAAACUCACUGAAGUAGUUAUGUCAUUCGAUCUAUCGGAUACAAAGCGAGACAGAUGGCAUGUAAGGCUGUUGCCCACCGGAACACAGCUAGGGGUUGGUUUAGGGUUGGACUUGUCAGCAGUUUCAGAAACGUUGUGUAACAGAACUGCAAACCUGUACACGCAAAAAAGAAAAACAUCUAUAUUUCUUCUAAACUGUGGAUUACCACGCUGUUUGGAUGAAGAAAACCGUGGCCUGUACUUGUCUGAAAAUGGACACCAGCUUGUGUAAAUUCCCCAGCUUUUGAUGAGCCGCAGGCUGCGAUCAAUUCUUCCCAUAACUGUUGCACGACUCCAGCCUAAAGUCACCCCACAGCAUGUACUCCGGAAUCGGAGAGGAGCAUGUCAGUACCGACAGCAGUUGUACUACAACAGGUCUGUCAAAGCUCUACCCCUCUUAGCUGCAAGGACACACAUGAGGAUGGUUCAUAUGAGGACACCAUGAGGAUGGUUCCUGGCAGCCAGCCGAGAUAACACAACCUGCCAACACGCACAGGAGUUACCAUAUCCAAACUGAUGAGGACAGAUGCUCUGGCUCAAUAGGCGACACCUCCGCAAAACGAGCGAGAGCCCAAGUACACCAGAGGACCACCAACCUACACCACCUCACAGCGCUACCCCAGACCUGCAAACUGAACCUGCUCAACAGCCAUUUAGCCAAUCACAACAAGAACAUUCUGGCUAUACCACAAGAUUCGGCUGUGCAGUCAAGCCUAGACAAAUACUUGACCUAUAAUCACAAGACUGAUUAGUCAAGCAGAACAAAACAACUACUAUGUUCAUGUCAUGUUAAAUGAAAUGAUCAUGUUAUACUCUCCUUAAGUACUGCAAAAGUUAUAUUAAGUUAAUCUCCCAGGUUGGCAUCCAUACGCACACAGAAGGCUGAAGGAGCGUGGGAAAAUGUUUCUUUACUCUUGUUAUUUAGCAGAUGUAUUUGAUUUAUUCACUGAAAGACUUUCAUUCUUACCAAGAGUUGUAACAAUUUAAGCCUAAUUUGAUGCUGUUGAGUCAUGCUUACAACUGGUUUAACAUUGAGUUAGAAAGAUUUGUUUCAGUGAAAUGCACACAUAUAGAUGCUACGUUUUUUGUUUGUUUGUUUUUUUAUUUUUUGUUUUUUGUUUUUUUUUAGGAGGGAGAUGUAACAUCCUGAUGUUAUCAAUGCCUCAGUUGCACUGAGUACAUCUAGGUGACGUCAUCAGUAUCGAGAGACUACCAUAUUGUGUGUGAUUCUGGUGUAACUCAAGAUGUCAGAGUAAACAAUAGUUGAAGUU